rnacentral:lncRNA from 1 species
UGAAAAGAACAAAGUUUUGUCCAUCUUUGUUCAUCAUAGCCUAAAGUUAGAGAAGAGAAAGGAGAGGAGAAAGCUCUUGAAUGUUCGGUCACUUGGGGAAGAAAAUUGAAGGUAAGUUCAUGGUAGUUUGCUUCUAUCUUGAUGUUCAUGAGUUCUUCUUGAUUCUACCUUAACUCUUGAAGCAUAUUUUGGUUUUUAGUUGUGUUGUGAGCAUUUAGUCAUGAAUUAAAAUGAAGGAAAUGGUUGUUGUUUCAUGUUCUUUUGAUGAAAAAUGGAAGAUAGGUGAAGUUAAGCCAAACAAAUGAGCAUGCAUGUGCCUUAGAUGCUAAGGGGAAAACUCUGCUAACAUGUUGUGAUUUAAAAUGAUGAAAUGGAGAUUAUACUUAAGUAAAAUCAUAGAUAUGUGAUGAUUGAUUGGUGAUAUACAUGUUUAAAUAACAAGCAUGCAAGUUAGGUGUGAAAGAGUGAUUUGGUAAUAAAUCUGCUUGGGACAGCAGCAGUAACGUGACUUUGGAAAAUCACCAUAAAUUGUGGGAGAUGAGUUAGAAGCUGCAUAAAUUAUGUAAUUAAAGAUUAAUGAGUCUAGUUUCAAAUGGAAUAAACAAGAACAUAUUUUUAAUUCUAUACAAUGAUAAAUUUGAUUCGUAAUGAAGAGUGGUCAGAUUAGUCAAACAGUGAAACAUGUGAAACUUUAAGAAAAAUCUGGUAUUGAUUGGCUAAACCAAAAAUUCUGAAAAUUUUAUGGAUAAAAGAUAUAUGAGUCUAUUUUCAGGUAAAAUUAACGGCACUUGAUUUGGAGUUUCGUAGCUCCAGUUAUAAAUGAUUUAGUGACUGUUGUUCAGGAAGACAGCUUGCAGUGAGAUUAUGAUUAUGUGGUAAACAUUGACAAAAAUUUGUUAAUGAGUUGCUUAUUGAUUUCUUAUAAACUUACUAUGAUCUGUAGGUGUGGUUGGCCGAAUAUUUUAAGGGGUUAAUACGUAGUUCGUAUUUGAAUAGUUAGAUUAAUGUGUUAGUAAUCCAAUUGUAGGCAGUUCGUGUGUGGAUCUCGUCAGCAUAUCGUCGCAAACAGGUGUGUAACUAACACCCUCUUUCUUAGUCUGGAUCGGCAAAAGUCGAAAAGCCGAAAUGCUAAAAACUGGUAUUUUGUAGAUUUGCGAGUGUGCGAAUGCUCGUGAGGUAAAUUGAUUAAUGUUUUUGGUAAGCUGCAAAAUUUGGACUGCAAAGUGCAUGAUUUCUAUGCCCUCGAUAUUUUUGGGCUUAAUGGGCCAAAAUGAGAAUGAUGGGCCAACGGACCUAAUUCGGUAAGAACCCUCGGUACGUGAUUCUGUUAGUACGUGAAAAGUAGGAAUAUGCAUGAAAAACCCUAAAAUAGAUAAAUUACUGAAAUACCUUUAAAAGUGGAAAAUUUACAGUUUUACCCAUAGUAGAUAAAUUACCGAAAUACCCCUAGUGUUAAAUUGACCUAAAUGCAUGUUUGACUGUUGUUAUUUACUGCAUGCCAUGUUGUUAUUAUCUGAUGCAUGGGAUUGGGAUAUUGACGGAGGAAGUACUGAAAGUGGCUUGUCCACGUACUGGAGGCUUUGCCUCAAUUUACUAUUAACUGAGCAGCAAGGAUGCAACUGUGGAGUGUUGGGUUGGGUGGGUUGAGCUAUUCCCCAUAUGGAGUGCAAGGCUGGUACGGGUGGAGUGUAGUGGUUGGUGGGUUGAGUAGUCUCCCAAAAUGGGCUUGCAUAUGUUAUUGAUGUUGCAUGUAUUUUGAAAUGGGCCUAUGGGCCAUACUGUUAUCUGAAUAAGGGGCUAAGGCCCAGUUUAUUGUAAUCUGAAAAGGGCUUUGGUCAAGUACCACUGUUACCUGAAUGGGUUUAGGCCCAAUAGGCUUGAGCUGACUUGGGCUUUGAAUGGGUUUUCCUUACACACUGAGUUUCCCGAAAUUCACCCAUUUUAUUUUCAUCCACGCAGGAAAUCCCCAACCAUAGUAGGCUUGGAGCUGUGAGGAAAUUCGGAGUGGCCACCCGUUCUGAAAGUUUGAUUUUCUUCUGGUGAACUGGACAUCCUUUUAUUUACGUUUGAAGUUUUGGGUUUUUAAAUGUAAUAAGGCCGCUUAAUUAUUUUUGAUGGUUUUAAUAUGUAUUACUAAGAUAGGUAUUACUUAUUUUAACUGUUGAAAUUGGAUAGCUUUAGGGCGCGUUUUCAAAAACAACAAUUGAUUUCAAAAUAACAUGACAACAAGCAAAGCUUC